rnacentral:rRNA from 1 species
UACGUAGGGAGCAAGCGUUGUCCGGAAUCAUUGGGCGUAAAGCGCGCGUAGGUGGCCCCGUAAGUCCGCUGUGAAAGUCAAAGGCUCAACCUUUGAAAGCCGGUGGAUACUGCGAGGCCUAGAGUGCGGAAGAGGCGAGUGGAAUUCCUGGUGUAGCGGUGGAAUGCGCAGAUAUCAGGAGGAACACCAUAGCGAAGGCAGCUCGCUGGGACGUACUGACACUGAGGCGCGAAAGCGUGGGGAGCGAACAGG